CGGUUGACCUCGGAUCAGGUAGGGAUACCCGCUGAACUUAAGCAUAUCAAUAAGCGGAGGA
rnacentral:rRNA from 1 species